rnacentral:rRNA from 1 species
GAAUUUUGGACAAUGGGCGAAAGCCUGAUCCAGCAAUGCCGCGUGCAGGAUGAAGGCCUUCGGGUUGUAAACUGCUUUUGUACGGAAAGAAAAGCUUUGGGUUAAUACCCUGGAGUCAUCACGGUACCGUAAGAAUCAGCACCGGCUAACUACGUGCCAGCAGCCGCGGUAAUAAGUAGGGUGCAAGCGUUAAUCGGAAUGACUGGGCGUAAAGCGUGCGCAGGCGGUUUUGUAAGACAGAGGUGAAAUCCCCGGGCUCAACCUGGGAACUGCCUUUGUGACUCCAACGCUCUCGUCCGCCAGAGGGGGGUGUAAUUCCGCGUGUAGCAGUGAAAUGCGUAGAUAUGCGGAGGAACACCGAUGGCGAAGGCAACCCCCUGGGCCUGUACUGACGCUCAUGCACGAAAGCGUGGGGAGCAAACA